rnacentral:rRNA from 1 species
UGAGCCAAGUUUGGUCCGCUUAACGGACUAUCAGACUUUAAACUGAAGAGUUUGAUCAUGGCUCAGAUUGAACGCUGGCGGCAGGCCUAACACAUGCAAGUCGAGCGGAAACGAUCCU